GAUGUGUCACUUCCGCAGUUCCCACCCCACCAUGACCAUCCUGCACGAACCCGGUAACCUGGCAGAGCUCAGGUUCUGAGAUCUUCACUUUCGACCUCUCCCGGAGCCCACAGAGGGCCCAGCCUCACCCCAGCGCCUCUCAUGGGCACCGAAUGUGGAGCCGCAGAGUCCUCCACCCUCCAGGGGCGAGUGCCAGCUGCCAGUCAAGGAACUGAACCCUGCUAAAGAGGCUUCUCUUUCCCUGCUCACUUCAUCUUCUGCCAGAUUCCGAUGGCUGAAGAGGGUGUGCCGGCGCCCCUGCCUCUGCAGGACACCCCCAUCUCUGCGCCCCCGUCCUCAAGCCCUUAAUCUGACUUGGGAGCCCUGGGACUCUGCGCUGGACCUCAGAACUUUUUUCCAGCACCACCAGGCCGACUUCUAA
rnacentral:lncRNA from 1 species